rnacentral:lncRNA from 1 species
UGAAUGAUUCGAUGGUAGAUUCAUGCAAAGAAGGUGAAUCCUUCAUUCACACAAAAGAUUCAAGCACAAUACUGGUUAAAGAUGGAUGGGAGAGAGUCCUUUCCUUUUCCCUUCCAUCCAAUAGAACUAUACCACCUCAAAUCCAUCGUCAUCCUUAGAUCCUACAAUUCUCAAUCCAAGCCAUUAAACCAACUUCUCUCCUUUAUAUAAUUAUAGCCAUCCAAUCGU